rnacentral:lncRNA from 1 species
CUCAUUCUGAAUGUGAAACACUUUUCAGCAAUACAUGAAAGAACAAUGAGAAAUAGCACUGGCAAAAACCCUUCAAGUUUUCCAUUUUAAUAAGAAAAACUUACGCAAAUAAAAGUCAUUGAUAGUGAAAAUGAAAGCCUUUACUUACUAGGAAUAAUUUUGAAUGUGCUUUACCACUAGCUGUAGAGAUAAACAUCCGUUUGUGGCGCACAUGAUUUAUCUGAGCUUUCCAUCUUGACUGAUUUUGUGAGCCUUCAGUCUGAAGCUUGAGCCAUUUCCUCAUUCAUCCCAUGGUUUCGCUCAACCGUUAUUUUACUGGGGUCUUGGUUCUAGUAAACUGUUCUUAUUGUCUGCCUCUACGUAGAUCAGCAAAGGACCAUGAUGCCUUGAGUCUUCUUCCAGAAGCAAAUCAUAAGAAAAAAAGAUCAAGUGGGCAGGAGAUACAUGAGGAAACGGACACAGACCCUACCAGAGAGAAAGGUUUGAGCUCUGGAUGCCUGAGUCUCACACCAUCAGAACAAAGUAUGGCAUACACCCACGGUACUCAGAACAACAGCGAUGCUUUGAGUUCUACAAAGAUCUCAACCGCACAGAAUUCAUUAUCAUGAACUACUCUAUUAUCAUCGUUAUAAUGACAACAGUUGUGACCCUCUUUCUGAUCCAGAUGGCUGUCAUUGUUCAACUGAUGAAGGCUCUUUGGCCUGAUGUGUGGGCCCAUCAAGACUAUAGAGCCCAAAUCAAGAGUUUCUUCUUCCUCCUAGUAAUAGUGGUCUGUUUUAUGCCCCAUCAUGUAUUCAGGGUAUACUUUAUUCAAAAUUAUCCAGAGAGAAAAGAUUCUGAGUUAGUUCUUUAUAAUGAAAUUUGUGUUGCUUUAACUACUGUCUGUUGCCUGGAUAUGCUGUGUUUUGUAAGUGGAGUGAUCCACUAAGCUUUCCUAUGUUACUGCUUGGUAAUCAGUUUUCCUACCAUUAUGACAAAAUAAGUUUCAAUUGAAUGCGUGCUGCUGCAAUUUCAAACUUUUUCAAAAUUUCUGUUCUUAAUCAUCAUUAAAAUUAUUUUUUACCAAAAAGGUAAGCAUUGAUUGUUCCACUCUCCUUAAAGAGCUAUUAAUGUUACCAGUUCUACAUUUACCACAGAAUAUGUUCAAUCUCUUAUUAGCCUUAUACAAAUUGGCCAUCUCAUCCCUUUCAGACUCAGCACCUAUCUUUUUUUCAUGCAGUACUUACUGCAGCUAAGCACAGCUAUUGGUUUCCCUGUACUUGCCAGACAUUUCCUCUCACGAGUUCUGAUUCUAGAAUGUUCUUUCCCUCCAUUUCCAAACUAUCUAUUCAAGACCCAGAGAACCUGAAGGCAGAAACUCGA